AGCGAACGCUGGCGGCAGGCCUAACACAUGCAAGUCGAACGGAUCCUUCGGGAUUAGUGGCGGACGGGUGAGUAACACGUGGGAACGUGCCCUUUGGUUCGGAACAACUCAGGGAAACUUGAGCUAAUACCGGAUGUGCCCUUCGGGGGAAAGAUUUAUCGCCAUUGGAGCGGCCCGCGUCUGAUUAGCUAGUUGGUGAGGUAAAGGCUCACCAAGGCGACGAUCAGUAGCUGGCCUGAGAGGAUGAUCAGCCACAUUGGGACUGAGACACGGCCCAAACUCCUACGGGAGGCAGCAGUGGGGAAUCUUGCGCAAUGGGCGAAAGCCUAACGCAGCCAUGCCGCGUGAAUGAUGAAGGUCUUAGGAUUGUAAAAUUCUUUCACCGGGGACGAUAAUGACGGUACCCGGAGAAGAAGCCCCGGCUAACUUCGUGCCAGCAGCCGCCGUAAGAC
rnacentral:rRNA from 1 species